UACAGAGGGUGCAAGCGUUGUUCGGAAUUAUUGGGCGUAAAGCGCGUGUAGGCGGAUGAGCAAGUCUGCUGUGAAAGCUCCUGGCUUAACCGGGAGUGGUCGGUGGAAACUGCUCGUCUGGAGGACGGUAGAGGUAGGUAGAAUUCCCGGUGUAGUGGUGAAAUGCGUAGAGAUCGGGAGGAAUACCUGUGGCGAAGGCGGCCUACUGGGCCGGACCUGACGCUGAGACGCGAAAGCGUGGGGAGCAAACAGG
rnacentral:rRNA from 1 species